ACAAAUUUUAAUAUCAAGCUAAUAAUUCUUAUAUCACGAGGUGUCAUCUAUAUACCAGUAGACUAUUUCAUUACGCUAUAAGACCAUUUCACCAUACCAUAAGACCAUUUCAUCAUACCAUAAGACAAAUCUAUUAAUAGCGGCGAAAAUUCCGCGCGAAAUUCAUCAGCAACAUCGAUUGUCAAAAAAAAAAAAAGACUGUGAAGGAAAUUGUUUUGCGGACCCUAGGAAAUCGCUUUCAAGAUGAAUGAAUUUAUCGACUUUAGCGAUGUGGAGCUGAAAAGACACGAAAGGCGAC
rnacentral:lncRNA from 1 species